rnacentral:rRNA from 1 species
GACGAACGCUGGCGGCGUGCCUAAUACAUGCAAGUUGAGCGCUGAAGGUUGGUACUUGUACCGACUGGAUGAGCAGCGAACGGGUGAGUAACGCGUGGGGAAUCUGCCUUUGAGCGGGGGACAACAUUUGGAAACGAAUGCUAAUACCGCAUAAAAACUUUAAACACAAGUUUUAAGUUUGAAAGAUGCAAUUGCAUCACUCAAAGAUGAUCCCGCGUUGUAUUAGCUAGUUGGUGAGGUAAAGGCUCACCAAGGCGAUGAUACAUAGCCGACCUGAGAGGGUGAUCGGCCACAUUGGGACUGAGACACGGCCCAAACUCCUACGGGAGGCAGCAGUAGGGAAUCUUCGGCAAUGGACGAAAGUCUGACCGAGCAACGCCGCGUGAGUGAAGAAGGUUGUCGGAUCGUAAAACUCUGUUGGUAGAGAAGAACGUUGGUGAGAGUGGAAAGCUCAUCAAGUGACGGUAACUACCCAGAAAGGAACGGCUAACUACGUG